GUGAAUACCUGAUGACCUCACUCCAACUUGAACUCUAAUAUGUUGUCAUAAAAAGGCUAUUUAC
ensembl:snoRNA SNORD81 Small nucleolar RNA SNORD81